rnacentral:misc_RNA from 1 species
GAAAUGCGAUAAGUAGUGUGAAUUGCAGAUUUCAGUGAAUCAUCGAAUCUUUGAACGCACAUUGCGCCCUUUGGUAUUCCUUAGGGCAUGCCUGUUCGAGCGUCAUUUACACCUUCAAGCUCUGCUUGGUGUUGGGCGUCUGUCCCGUGGUCCUCGCGGCCUGGGACUCGCCUCAAAUCUAUUGGCGGCCGGUACCGUGGCUUCGAGCGCAGCAAAUUAGCGACCUCAUCGCCUUUCGGUAGCUGGCUCCCAGAAGCCAUCUUUCAUGUUUUGACCUCGGAUCAGGUAGGGAUACCCGCUGAACUUAA